CACGUAGGGCGCAAGCGUUGUCCGGAAUUAUUGGGCGUAAAGAGCUCGUAGGCGGUCUGUUGCGUCCGCUGUGAAAACUCGGGGCUUAACCCCGAGCCUGCAGUGGAUACGGGCAGACUAGAGGUAGGUAGGGGAGAAUGGAAUUCCCGGUGUAGCGGUGAAAUGCGCAGAUAUCGGGAAGAACACCCGUGGCGAAGGCGGCUCUCUGGGACGGUACUGACGCUGAGACGCGAAAGCGUGGGGAGCGAACGAGG
rnacentral:rRNA from 1 species